AAGUGUUUACAGCUCUUUGAAAAUUUGUCUAGUAGGUUCUUUGGUUCUUACUGGAAGAUCCCCA
ensembl:snRNA U7 U7 small nuclear RNA